CUGCUAGGGAAGGCAUCGAGCUUGAGGAAGAGGCCUCAUUCAUCUCCGUACCCCAGGCCCUAGUACACAGCAGCUCCAGGUGGGCACGCAUCUUUGUUGUGUUCUCUGCUGACUGUAUCCUCAGCACCUAGAACUGUCUGUCACCUAAUAGAUGCUCAAUAAACCUGCCAGUAAUUUCAGCAAAUGAAACGUGGAACACGUCAAGGCCAGAGGAUGGAAAAGGCUCCAGUUUUGAUAAAAGGAGGCCUGCUUGGCUUGGAAUCCUCUCUCCUGCUGGUUGGGAGAUGCAAAGAUGUUUCCAGAGAGGGGCUGAUGAAUUGAGGGGAAAGAAAUGAGCCCAGUAUGAGUCCCCUUUCAGGGCUGAGUGUGUAUAAAACCAAACAACUUGGAACCGCUCCAAGAGAGGGGAUUAAAGCAACAUGUUAUUCUGAGUGAUUGCUUAAUUUGUUGAGCUGUGGCUGGAUCUGUAAUGAAAUACAGCCCUUGUAACUGAUAACCUCCUGCUGCAAUUGAACUUCUACAAUUAAGGAAUAUUUUCUGAGUUUCUCUGGAACGGCUCUGAAUUUUUAGCCUCUGUGGUAGGGUGCUUCUGAACAUUUGUUUUCCAGGCAAUUUUUUUUCUUGAGUAUUAGGCUGAUGUUAAUAAGUAAGCAGCAUUUUA
rnacentral:lncRNA from 1 species